rnacentral:lncRNA from 1 species
GCUUAUAAUGCAUGACAUACCCUGUGAGGGAGCCUGAGAACAGACUCCUUUGAAAAGCAAGGUUCUCAUAGUUGGCCUGUAACCAUGGAAGCAGAUGCCGUUUUCUUCUCACCCUGCUUACCUCUUUGCAGCCUCGAGCUGCUCCCUAUUGUUAAAAGGGGUACGCCUUGAUUUUUCUUCAUCAUGACCGAACUUGCCUCUUCUUCAAAGGACAUGAUGCUGCAGGUCAUUGGUCUAGACUGUUUGCACGGUCCAGAGAAUAGCCUUGAUGUAACCCUUGCUCCGUCUGAGCCACACCACCAGCCGUGCAUCUGCAGACUGGAGGGGGACAUUGGAGAUCUGUAUUUGAAAAGAAGUCUGUCUGAUUUUGCCAUUGUGCCUUUUCACUCAUCGAUCGAAUGAAUAUCGAACCUUCUGUCGUUGCAUGUGUGAAAUAGAUAGCUUAGCAAGCACUUUUGUGCCCAACCUGUGCAGUGGGCCAAAAGGUUUUCCUUUUAGCCUCAAGAAUUUUUUCUUCAGACUUUAUGAAUUUCGUGUUAGCUUAAAUUAUUUAUAUGUCUUUAUCCAACUGUUACGAUGACCGUUUCAGUUACUUCGUCAGCAGUGACUUUCUUUUGGUAUUAGAAGGAGCAUUUUCUUUUCUGUCAACUAUGUUUGUUUUCCUUUUAAGCUUUUUAAGAUCUUCUAGAUUAAUUCAUUUGUAACUAGAGAUAGUAUAACUUUGACUGUAACCUAUGAAGCCAAAAAGUUGAGGUGUUCUUUCAAGGAGAUAAUGAGAUGGUGUCUAUCAUUUAACAGGUUUAUUCCAGAAAGGUGAACUUGAACUGCCUCCAGGUAAUUUCAGUGAUUUGUAAGAGUAAGUAAAUCAAAUAAUCACAUUGAUUUUAAAUUAAACAAAAUUGUCUGAUAAGCUCUGUUUCAAGGGAAAGUUUUUCUUUGUUUUUGCCCAUUAAAAAAUUUGCAAAAAUGUUAUUCUGGAGCAUUAAAAUAGACUCAAAAGCACAUAAAUUCAUUAUGAUCUGUGAAAGGCAUAUAAAAUCAUGGCGAUUUCAUAUGUUAAAUAAAUACUAUAUAUUUAUGAUAUAUAUCUUAUGGCAUGAUUUAAUUAGAAAGUACACAAUAUAAAAAGAUUUUCACAUUUCAUUUUUAGUACAAUUACAAUUCACAGCUUGUCAUCAAUAACUAAUGUUGACAAUAACUAAUAGCAACUAUAACACCUGCUCAUUCUAAAAAGCAUUCUUUUACUGUGUUCUUGUAAAAUCAGAAUGACUUUAAAAUGCCUCCUCUACUAAUCUGCAGUAUAUUGCUUAGCAAGUACUGUCUGUAUGUGUCAUCAGUUUCUGUUUUGUUUUGUUUCAUUUUAAGAACCCACUAUUUCAUACUUCAACGCAUACCUAUUUUCUCUAAUUGCCACAGGCAAAGGGGAGGUCCCUGACAGAAUAAAGAAGGUUAUUGUGACAGAUGAAACAUAAUUCACAAUGAGUACUCUUUUCAUCCAGCUCUAAGUAGCAGAGGAUUACUUCCAAGCUGAAUUUUGUGGCAGAAUGUAUGAGCUGAUUUUAUUAACACAUAAGGAUAGGGCAAAGGCAGAAAAACUAUUUCUCCUCAGCUGGAUGGUGGUUAUUUUGUGUGUGUCUGUUUGGGGGCUUUAUUUUGAUCCACCUCAAGCAGAAGAUAUGCUGGCCAGAAGAGACUCUGAAGACAUCGAGGGCAUAGGCGGGGAGGGUAGAAAAUAAGAAAUUUAAAGUAAUAAAAGUUGUGGGUUUUCUAUACUAGAUAAUGAGAAAUGAUGAACUAAAUAUACAGUAUUUCUACAUUCUUUGGCAUGCACAUGAAAUAAAGUCAUACUUUUUUUCAACAAAUACAACAGCUGCAAAAAUAACCCCUGUGAUGUCCUGAGGCAAUCUUCUGUGGGUCCAUUUUCUCCAUCCAUGAGUACGUCUCCACGGUCCUGAGAUUGGGAGCAGAGAUACAAAGUUCUCUGGGAUGUUUUUUUCUCUGUUGGUUUGUCUGUCUCUAACUUUCUUUUAGAACAAUUCUCAAAUCACAUUUCCUCCAAAUAUCUUUCUCUCAUUGCUCUGGGCUACGUAGAAAAAAAAAUGCCCAAUUCUAUUUUGAAGUUCUGAAGAGGAUUGAUUUGUAUCACUUUUUUAGCAUUCAGAACUGACUUAAAAUUCUUAGUCUUCCCUCCAUUUCAAGAUGCUUUCUACCUAGCUGUAUUGCAAACUGCUUAAGGUAAAAAGUGGUCUUUUGUACACUCACGUCACUCUCUACUGAGCAUAGUGCUCACCUAAGACAACUUUGAUUAGUUUUUGCUGAUAAAAGAAAAUCAGAAAACCUAUCUUCCAAAAUAUAGAAAGUUUGCAAAAUCGUAGAGUUGUUUGGGGACUUUUUCUUAUAUUUGUGAAGUCUGGAAGCAAAAUUACAGGUACUCUAAUCCCACAGUUUUUUUUUACUUGCAUUUGAAACUUUGCUAGAUAAACUGUUACUUGCUAAAAUAAAACCAGACAGAUCGAUAAACAAAGAGGACAAGAACAGACAUCUAUGCUGAUAAGCGGCAUGCUUUCUUUUGCUAACUAGCUUGUUCUUUUGUGAUGAUAUUUUGCUUAGUUACCUUUAUCUGUUUUGAACGAUACCAAGCAUUCCGUUGACUUAUUUUACUCAUAAGCAAUGAUAAUUCGCAUGAGGAUAAAAAAGGGACAAGACGGCAGAGUCCAUUUGAAAGGAGUUUCCCGCCAACCAUGUUGGAGACUCCUGAUUCCUCCUCACUUGACUGGAAAUUCAGGUGAUAGUUAUCUGGUGAUAAUCAUUAGGAUUAAUGUAUACAAUUUAUUUUGAUUUUAUAAUCUGUAAUGGUCAUAUAAGCACUAAUAUGAUUUCCUGAAUUCACUAUUCUACUGGAAAGAAAAUGUUUUGAUCAGCUAACAAAUAUAUACAUCCUUCAUUUAUCCAUGGUUGUUUUCUUUUUUCUAUUGUUGAUUUUCCUGUAAACUUGAUUAUGUGAGAGUUAAUCCUCAAGGACUUUUAUCACCCUUGAGUACAAUGACCAAAUAAGCUUCCUGACCAAAUUCAACAGUCGUGGAACACUUGGACCCAGCUGAGGAUUUUUAUGGCUUAGCUCAAAACAGUGAGCUUUACAAUAUAACAUGACAGGAAACAAGCAAAGAAGUGCAUGUCUAUAUUUUCCAGACAUCUUUAGUUAUGGGUAAACACUCCAAAAUUAUUGUUCCCAAGUGACAGGUGAAAGUAGCAUGGCUGUGUUGCUUUACCCCUAUUCUCAAUGGC